rnacentral:misc_RNA from 1 species
GAUGAAGAACGCAGCGAAAUGCGAUAAGUAAUGUGAAUUGCAGAAUUCAGUGAAUCAUCGAAUCUUUGAACGCACCUUGCGCCCCUUGGUUAUUCCAAAGGGCAUGCCUGUUUGAGUAUCAUGAACACCUCAACUCUUGUGGUUUCCCACAGUGAGCUUGGACUGUGGAGGUUUUGUUGGCCCUGUGGUCAGCUCCUCUCAAAUGGAUCAGCUUACCGGUGUUUGGUGGCAUUACGGGUGUGAUAACUAUCUACGCUCGUGGUCGUCUCCAAAUAACCUCCAGUGAUGGAGGUUCGCUGGAGCUUAUAAAUGUCUCUCCCCAGUGAAGACAGCCUUUGAACGUUCGAUCUCAAAUCAGGUAGGACUACCCGCUGAACUUAAGCAUAUCAAUAAGCGGAGGA